rnacentral:rRNA from 1 species
UGGAGAGUUUGAUCCUGGCUCAGGACGAACGCUGGCGGCGUGCCUAAUACAUGCAAGUAGGACGCACAGUUUAUACCGUAGCUUGCUACACCAUAGACUGUGAGUUGCGAACGGGUGAGUAACGCGUAGGUAACCUACCUAUUAGAGGGGGAUAACUAUUGGAAACGAUAGCUAAUACCGCAUAACAGUAUGUAACACAUGUUAGAUGCUUGAAAGAUGCAAUUGCAUCGCUAGUAGAUGGACCUGCGUUGUAUUAGCUAGUAGGUAGGGUAAUGGCCUACCUAGGCAACGAUACAUAGCCGACCUGAGAGGGUGAUCGGCCACACUGGGACUGAGACACGGCCCAGACUCCUACGGGAGGCAGCAGUAGGGAAUCUUCGGCAAUGGGGGGAACCCUGACCGAGCAACGCCGCGUGAGUGAAGAAGGUUUUCGGAUCGUAAAGCUCUGUUGUUAAGGAAGAACGAGUGUGAGAAUGGAAAGUUCAUGCUGUGACGGUACUUAACCAGAAAGGGACGGCUAACUACGUGCCAGCAGCCGCGGUA